CCUACGGGAGGCAGCAGUAGGGAAUCUUCCACAAUGGACGAAAGUCUGAUGGAGCAACGCCGCGUGAGUGAAGAAGGGUUUCGGCUCGUAAAGCUCUGUUGGUAGUGAAGAAAGAUAGAGGUAGUAACUGGCCUUUAUUUGACGGUAAUUACUUAGAAAGUCACGGCUAACUACGUGCCAGCAGCUGCGGUAAUACGUAGGUGGCAAGCGUUGUCCGGAUUUAUUGGGCGUAAAGGGAGUGCAGGCGGUUCAAUAAGUCAGAUGUGAAAGCCUUCGGCUCAACCGGAGAAUUGCAUCAGAAACUGGUGGACUUGAGUGCAGAAGAGGAGAGUGGAACUCGAGGUGUAGCGGUGGAAUGCGUAGAUAUAUGGAAGAACACCAGUGGCGAAGGCAGCUCUCUGGUCUGCAACUGACGCUGAGGCUCGAAAGCAUGGGUAGCGAACAGGAUUAGAUACCCCGGUAGUC
rnacentral:rRNA from 1 species